UUGGAAGUAAAUAAAUACCCUAUUUCCUCGAAUAAUUGCCUUGGCUGGAAUAAUCACUCAAGUACCCGCCCACUGAAGAGCUUAGUGGCAACAUGUUGUUUUGAAAUUGUCUCGUCCUUCCAAUAAUCCGUCCUCCCUAUCUCGCUCGACAUCUUCUGUGCUGUGUGUGUUUGAUUUGUCAAAUCAAAAUCAUCAAAGUUACCACUGCUGUGUUUACUGUCUUUGAAUAAACCAGCCCUCUCCCUGCGUUAAGAUAUUCCUCAAUAGCAGGAGUUCGUCGUAUCUCAGAUGUACUUUGUAAGACUUGGAGUGAACUAUGUCUAAAAUAAUUCUCUUUCCCCGAAUAAUCGUCCUCUUCUGAUGCUUUGAAAACGUUAAUAGCCAGUGUGUUAUUUGAGGAAAGGCAAAACCUUGUUUUAUUCAAACCGAAUAAGUAAGCUUAUCUCGCUACUUUUUGUGGAGAAGAGAUUUUAGCGAACAAAAAUAAUAAUGUCUCACAAAGAGAAGUUUGUCUGUUAAGGCUGAUUUGAGAGUGAUACUGAGAAGGCGACUGGCACAGACUACUUGUCUUGUUUGUUUUCUUUUUUUGUGCAGGAACUUCACGAGCUUGUUAGACUCCAUCAUGAGGUUCAGCUGCUCAGUCUUCAGCUGCACGUGAGACAGCUCGGCGGUGAAAAGCUGCUGCCCCUGUUAGAGCCUGAAGAUGGAUCCAUCAGACAGGUCAGGUUAAACCCAAGAACUUGAGCUUGUGCAUUUGUACCCUUGUAUUGUGUGACGCACGGUCUUCUUUGUGGCGGUGGCAAGGUUUUUCCAGCCAUGGUCCUUGAUAACUUUUGACGCAAAACGUGUAUGUGACUAGUCACAUGUCCCUGCAAGAAGAACAGCAGCCUACUUGUACCGAGAUAGUGCCAAGUCAUCUAAUUUAUUCACCGAAAGACUCAGGAAGACUUUGAUUUGAAAUUUUUGAUGUGAUAACUCCCGCAUCAGAAUAAAAUGUAACGAAUAAAAUUUCUAGAGUUUG